AUUGAACGCUGGCGGCAGGCCUAACACAUGCAAGUCGAGCGAGUGGCGGACGGGUGAGUAAUGUCUGGGAAACUGCCUGAUGGAGGGGGAUAACUACUGGAAACGGUAGCUAAUACCGCAUACCAUCAGAUGUGCCCAGCUGGGAUUAGCUAGUAGGUGGGGUAACGGCUCACCUAGGCGACGAUCCCUAGCUGGUCUGCGGGGAUGACCAGCAACACUGGAACUGAGACACGGUCCAGACGCGAACGGGAGGAAGCAGUGGGGAAUAUGGGACAAUGGGCGAAAGCCUGAUGCGGCAAUGACGCGUGUAGAAAGAAGGCCUUCGGGUUGAAAAGUACUUUCAGCGGGGAGGCGUUAACCGAAGAAAAAGCACCGGCUAACUCCGUGCCAGCAGCCGCGGUAAUAC
rnacentral:rRNA from 1 species